rnacentral:rRNA from 1 species
UACGUAGGUGGCAAGCGUUAUCCGGAAUUACUGGGCGUAAAGCGCACGCAGGCGGUCUUUUAAGUUUGACGUGAAAGCUCCCGGCUUAACUGGGAGAGGUCGUUGAAUACUGGAAGACUUGAGGCAAUGAGAGGGGUGUAGAAUUCCCUGUGUAGCGGUGAAAUGCGUAGAGAUGGGGGAGAACACUCGUGGCGAAGGCGGCCAGCUAGACCAGUUCUGACACUGAGGCGCGACAGCGUGGGGAGCAAACAGG